GUUCAACCGAAGAAGUGCAUCGGAAACUGGGAAACUUGAGUGCAGAAGAGGACAGUGGAACUCCAUGUGUAGCGGUGAAAUGCGUAGAUAUAUGGAAGAACACCAGUGGCGAAGGCGGCUGUCUGGUCUGUAACUGACGCUGAGGCUCGAAAGUAUGGGUAGCAAACAGGAUUAGAUACCCUGGUAGUCCAUACCGUAAACGAUGAAUGCUAAGUGUUGGAGGGUUUCCGCCCUUCAGUGCUGCAGCUAACGCAUUAAGCAUUCCGCCUGGGGAGUACGGCCGCAAGGCUGAAACUCAAAGGAAUUGACGGGGGCCCGCACAAGCGGUGGAGCAUGUGGUUUAAUUCGAAGCUACGCGAAGAACCUUACCAGGUCUUGACAUACUAUGCAAAUCUAAGAGAUUAGACGUUCCCUUCGGGGACAUGGAUACAGGUGGUGCAUGGUUGUCGUCAGCUCGUGUCGUGAGAUGUUGGGUUAAGUCCCGCAACGAGCGCAACCCUUAUUAUCAGUUGCCAGCAUUAAGUUGGGCACUCUGGUGAGACUGCCGGUGACAAACCGGAGGAAGGUGGGGAUGACGUCAAAUCAUCAUGCCCCUUAUGACCUGGGCUACACACGUGCUACAAUGGAUGGUACAACG
rnacentral:rRNA from 1 species